ACUUGGGUGGGAAGGGAUUAACAGUUGAAUUAUCUGGAUCUACUGUAAACCAACCUUCGACUGGCAGUUUUACGGGCGGACGGCUGGGGUUUUCAAGGUCUUGGAGAGACGGGGAUCCGUUUCGGGAGUUCGCUUUUGGUCCUUGGUGAACAUCAAACGGUUCACUGAUGCAGUUACGGUCAGCUUUUGCGGUCAUUCCAGAGCAACGCGCGGUGCGAUCUUCCAACCGGUUUCUUCGAGUCGCCAGCAAAAAACCGGAGAGGGAGAAGAUGGCAAAGUGGGAAUUUAUCGGAGGUUUGGAAUAUCCCGAGUUUUAUUGAAGAGCCGGGGAAAACCAGCGGUCUGAAAUUUAAUAGAAAUGAAUG